GGUAUAGCUUAGUGGUAGAGUGUGUGCUUAGCAUGCAUGAGGUCCUGGGUUCAAUCCCCAGUACAAACA
rnacentral:tRNA from 1 species